rnacentral:rRNA from 1 species
GACGAACGCUGGCGGCGUGCUUAACACAUGCAAGUCGAACGGUAAGGCCCUUUCGGGGGUACACGAGUGGCGAACGGGUGAGUAACACGUGGGUGAUCUGCCCUUCACUUUGGGAUAAGCCUGGGAAACUGGGUCUAAUACCGGAUAGGACUACGCGAUGCAUGUCGUGUGGUGGAAAGCUUUUGCGGUGUGGGAUGGGCCCGCGGCCUAUCAGCUUGUUGGUGGGGUGAUGGCCUACCAAGGCGACGACGGGUAGCCGGCCUGAGAGGGUGACCGGCCACACUGGGACUGAGAUACGGCCCAGACUCCUACGGGAGGCAGCAGUGGGGAAUAUUGCACAAUGGGCGCAAGCCUGAUGCAGCGACGCCGCGUGGGGGAUGACGGCCUUCGGGUUGUAAACCCCUUUCAGCACAGACGAAGCGUAAGUGACGGUAUGUGCAGAAGAAGCACCGGCCAACUACGUG